rnacentral:tRNA from 1 species
CAUUAAGAAGCUAUGAAUUAGCACUAGCCUUUUAAGCUAGAGAAAGAGGACUACCAAUCCUCCUUAAUGA